AACAAGCGCAGCAGCCUACUCCAAUCGCGAGUAGCGCGUGUCCUCGCUCGUACGAGAAUCUUCUCGAAUCAUACAGGUGUCAAAAUCUCGUGUUCCUCCUAUCCUUGCUCAUCAAUCAGACGAUUCUCUUCACUUUUCCGUUGGGAAUUUGUACAAGAGUAGAGCUGGCAACCUUAUCUCCUGAGGAGAUUCGAAUUUUGAAUUUGGAAUUCGUCCAAAAAUCUACCUCUUUUCCC
rnacentral:lncRNA from 1 species